rnacentral:rRNA from 1 species
GAUGAACGCUGGCGGCGUGCCUAAUACAUGCAAGUCGAGCGAAGCGGGGACGGGGGUGUAACACGUGGGUAACCCCCUAUAAGACUGGGGUAAACUCGGGAAACCGGAGCUAAACCGGCUACUUUUAGAAGGAUCCGCUCUGCAUUAGCUGGUGGGUAAGGUAACGGCUUACCAAGGCAACGAUGCAUAGCCGAGCGGAGAGGGUGAUCGGCCACACUGGAACUGAGACACGGUCCAGACUCCUACGGGAGGCAGCAGUAGGGAAUCUUCCGCAAUGGGCGAAAGCCUGACGGAGCAACGCCGCGUGAGUGAUGAAGGUCUUCGGGUCGUAAAGCACUGUUAUUAAGGAAGCGUUACCUAAUCAGAAAGCCACGGCUAACUACGUGCCAGCAGCCGCGGUAAUAC